GAUGAACGCUGGCGGCGUGCUUAACACAUGCAAGUCGAACGGGAAACCUUUUAUUGAAGCUUCGGCAGAUUUAGCUGGUUUCUAGUGACGGACGGGUGAGUAACGCGUGGGUAACCUGCCUUAUACAGGGGGAUAACAGUCAGAAAUGGCUGCUAAUACCGCAUAAGCGCACAGAGCUGCAUGGCUCAGUGUGAAAAACUCCGGUGGUAUAAGAUGGACCCGCGUUGGAUUAGCUGGUUGGUGGGGUAACGGCCCACCAAGGCGACGAUCCAUAGCCGGCCUGAGAGAGUGAACGGCCACAUUGGGAAGGAGACACGGCCCAGACUCCUACGGGAGGCAGCAGUGGGGAAUAGUGCACAAUGGGGGGAACCCUGAAGCAGCGACGCCGCGUGAAGGAAGAAGUAUCUCGGUAUGUAAACUUCUAUCAGCAGGGAAGAUAAUGACGGUACCUGACUAAGAAGCCCCGGCUAACUACGUG
rnacentral:rRNA from 1 species